rnacentral:piRNA from 1 species
UGUUCUAUUUGACCAAACUCAGGGCCAUUCA